rnacentral:rRNA from 1 species
CGGCGACCGGCGAAAAAACNCGGGUGCGUAACGCGUAUGCAACCUACCAUCAACGAGGGGGAUAACACUGAGAAAUUGGUACUAAUACCCCAUAAUAUCGUUUCGGGGGCAUCCCUGAGGGAUUAAAGGAAGCGAUUCCGGCUACGGAUGGGCAUGCGGCGCAUUAGCUAGUCGGCGGGGUAACGGCCCACCGAGGCGACGAUGCGUAGGGGUUCUGAGAGGAAGGUCCCCCACACUGGUACUGAGACACGGACCAGACUCCUACGGAAGGCAGCAG